rnacentral:lncRNA from 1 species
CUAGAUGGUGCAGUCUGGAAAUCCACUCAGGCAGCCUUUCUAGUUUCCCCCAAAGACGGAGAGAUUGGAGGUGAAGAGGAGCAGAAGACAUGGCCUGCAAGUCAAGAAUUGCAACCCCAUAACCCUCUGAAGCAACACCAAGCGACCGCAGGUGAGGCAUAUUCUCUAGGGCAAGGCAUAGAUCCCUUCCAUUUUCUUUCUUCAAAUUCAUGAUCCCCAGUUUCCUUAAUUGCUUCAACAUUCCAAUCUCAUUAAUUAAUUCCCGUUCAUGAUAGUCACCUGCAUUAAUUCCAUAGAGUGUUUGCAACAGCUCUAACUGCCCUAGGCUACCACGUGUUGGUGGGAGGAACCACUGGUGGUGGCUUUGAAACACUCAGAGGGGAUAAAACACACUGGUUUUAUUACAAAAUCCGAAGCUUACAAUUAAUUAAAACAAAAGCUUAAACACACCCUCUUUCUCUCUUUCUCUUUCAAGUGUUUCUCUCUAUUCUCUCCACUCAAAUAACAUAGCUGGCACUCUAUUUAUACAAAAAUACAAAAAUCUACUGUUCCAGGUGUGAAGGCGGCUGUUGACCGGCGGUGUGAAGGCGGCUGGCGGCUGCGGCUGGUGGCUGGCGGCUGCGGCUGGUGGGUGGUUGCCUUCCUUGACCAUCUAGGUGCUUCUAGAUUGAGUUUAUUCAACAAAUCUCCCCUUUAAACUCAAUCGAGGGAUGUCAUGCCAAGCAUGAACUUUAAUCGGAUGAAUACUUCUCCUUUCAAUGGCUUUGUGAAGAUGUCAGCAACUUGAUCAUUUGUGUUGCAAGAUAUCAGUUGGACUUCUUCAUUCUUCACAUGUUCCCGGAUAAAGUGAUGACGUGUAUCAAUGUGUUUGCUCCUCUCAUGAUACACUGGAUUCUUUGCUAAUGCGAUUGCUGAUCGAUUGUCAAUAUAAAUCUCCGUAGGACUUUCUUGAGGAAAUCCCAAAAACUUCAGCAUAUUCCUUAACCAUAUUGAAUGGCAUACGGCUGAGUUGGCAGCUACAUACUCAGCUUCACAGCUUGAUAAUGUGACAAUCGAUUGCUUCUUGGAUGACCAUGUGAAAGAUGUGUCUCCCAUGAAAAAGACAAACCCUGUUGUGCUUUUCCUUUCAUCCAGAUCUCUACCCCAAUCACUAUCCGAGUAGCCUACAAGAUUAAAGUCUUUACUUGAGGUAUAAAACAUACCUUCAUUCAUUGUGCCUUUGAUGUAGCGAAGAAUUCUCUUGGCUGCAUUCAAAUGAGACUGGUCUGGUGUCUCCAUGUAUCUGCUGACGAGUCCGACUCCGUAGAGUAUAUCCGGUCUGGUACAUGUCAAGUACCUUAAGCUUCCUACUAAGCUUUUGAAGUAAGUUGGAUCAACAUUUCCAACCUUACUCUUCCUCAAUUCCACUCCAUUCUCAACUGGAGUUGAUACCGGAUUGCAGCUUUCCAUCUUGAACCUUUCAAGAAUAUCUUUGGCGUAACCGCUUUGGGAUACAAAAAUCCCUUCUUCCUUCUGCGUUACUUCUAAGCCAAGAAAAUGUGACAUUAGACCAAUGUCAGUCAUUUCAAACUCCUGUACCAUGCUUCGUUUGAAGUCGUCAAACAUGGUAGGGUUGUUGCCGGUGAAUAUCAAAUCAUCAACAUACAGGCACAAAUAAGAUGCUGCCAUCUGCUCCUUUCUUCACAUACAUUGCGUGUUCAUAUGGACAUUUUUCAAAUCCAUUAUCUUGAAAAUACCUGUCAAUUCUGGUAUUCCAAGCACGCGGAGCUUGCUUCAAACCAUAGAGAGCCUUCUUCAACUUGUAUACUUUGCCUUCAUUUUCAGCAUCAAUGUAUCCAAGUGGUUGUUCAACAUAGAUUUCUUCUUCUAGGAAGCCAUUCAGAAAUGCUGACUUCACAUCGAGUUGAUAGAUCUUCCAUCUAUGUUGUGCAGCUAGUGAGAUCAUCAGUCUGAUUGUCUCUAGCCGGGCUACUGGAGCAAAUACUUCUCCAUAGUCAAUGCCUUCUCUCUGUUUGUAGCCUUUAGCCACUAAUCUGGCUUUGUAUCUUUGCACUUCUCCUUUGGCGUUCUUCUUCGUCUUGUAGACCCAUUUGACACCUAUUGCUUUCUUGUUUUCUGGUAGAUAAGUCAGCUUCCAGGUAUCAUUCUUCUCAAUGGCAUGUAUUUCUUCAUCCAUUGCUUCUAUCCAUUUCUCUUCUGUGACAGCUUCAUUGAAGCUUAAUGGGUCACUAUCUGCAAAGAAACAAAACAGAGUUGUAUCUUCCAUACCUGAGUGGUAUCGUACAACUCUUCAAGAUUCCGCAUCCUUCUUGGUCUUCUGAUGAGGAUGCUGGUGGUGUUGAUGAUGAUGCUCCUGGUGUGUUCCUCCUGUUGAAUACAGGGAAACUGUGUGCCGGACUUUGUGGUUCAGCUGCUGGCACAAUGGUUCUUCGACAAGUACUGUUGGUACUUCUUCACCUUCAAGGAUCAAAUCAGUUGAUCCAUUUGAUGCUUCUUGAUCACCAUUCCAUGCCCAAGAUUUAUCUUCUUCAAAGAUAACAUCUCUACUCGUAAUCACCUUCUUCGUGAUGGGAUUAUACAGCCUGUAUCCCAUCCUUCUUUCACCAUAUCCGACAAAGAUGCAUUUCUCGCUCUUAUCAUCGAGCUUUCUCCUUCUUGCAUCUGGGAUCUUUGCAUAUGCCACACAACCAAAGACUCGUAGAUGAGUAACACUUGGUUUGUGACCACUCCAUGCUUCUUCUGGAGUGACCUUGCAAACUUCUGGUUGGGCAGCGAUUCAGUAGAUACACUGCACAUGAUACAGCUUCAGCCCAGUAUUGCUUGGGCAGCUUCUUUGCUUUGAGCAAACUUCUGCCAUGUCAAGAAUCGUGCGAUUCUUCCUUUCUGCUACACCGUUCAGCUGUGGUGUAUAAGCUGGCGUCGUCUGAUGUCUGAUGCCUUGUUGUGUACAAUAGGCUUCAAAGUCAUUGCUGUAUAUUCUCCACCUUGAUCAGAUCUCACGGUUCUGAUCGUGUAACCAGUUUGCUUCUCCACAAUUGCUUUAAAAUCUUUAAAACAAUUGAAUACUUCUGACUUCCUCUUCAGAAAGUAUAUCCACGUCUUUCUACUAAAAUCAUCAGUAAAAGUGAGGAAGUACCUAUUUUGUCCAGUCGACAUAGGCGUAAUUGGGCCACACACAUCUGUGUGUACUAACUCCAGUGGCCUCUUUGCUCUCCAGUUGACUUCUUUGGCAAAACUGGAUCUGUGAUGUUUGCUGAGGACACAACUCUCACAGACUUCAUCUGGAUGAUCAAUGUGAGGCAAACCUUUGACCAUCUUCUUGCUUGCUAGCAUCUUCAUACUCGUGAAAUUCAGAUGUCCAAGCCUCAGGUGCCAAAGCCAUUCUUCACUGUUGGUGAUGGCACUCAAACACCUUGUUGCAUCAUACUGGAUGUUCAAAGGAAACAUCCUAUUCUUGGACAUUUUCACGUAGGCCAUUAAUCUCCCAUUGUUGUCUCUAAUUGCCAGAUGACAAUUCUUCGAGUAAAAACUAUAUCCUCUCUCCAAAAGUUGGCCUAAGCUGAUCAGGUUCUGCUUUAUGGCUGGGACAUAAUACAUCGGCGAUGUAGCUGGAAUCGCCAUUCUUCAACUUGACUGGGAUGUUGCCUUUACCUUUGAAUGGAACCUUUGUGGUAUCUCCAAAAGUAACUAGACCUUGCUUGGUCUCAUCUAGAUCACCAAAUAACUCUCGGUAGCCGCACAUGUGAUUGCUGGCUCCAGUAUCUAGAUACCAUAUUUCUCCUGUUUCUCGCCAUGUUCUUGUUGGACAAGAAAUGCAGAUGCUUCUCCAUCAUGCUUCUCUACAUAGUUGGCUUGCUCACGUGUCUCCAACGGAGCUUUCCAUCGCAUUCAGUGCUAUAGUGCCCAAAUUGAUUGCAGCUAUAACAUUUGAUAUUUCUCUUGUCACGGUUAUUGUAACCGCCUCCUCUUCCUCUAGGAGUGAAUGCUUGUUGUCCUCGGCCUCCUCUGGUGGUGUUUCUGCCACCUCUUCCUCUGAAGCUUGUAUUCCAAGAUCCUCUUCCUCUUCCUUGGAAUCUAUGAAAUCCUCCUCUGGAUUGUUGACUUCCUGCUUGAGUGGUGUAGCCACUGUUGAAGUCUCCCCUUGCUCAUAUCUGUCCUUGAAAGACAGCUUUGCUUGUAAGGCAUGCUCAAUGGCCUUAUCUUCAUUUCGCAUUACAAUCUUCUGCUCAUGAGCUUGCAAAGAACUCAUAAGCUCAUCCACUGUCAACUUGUCCACUUCCUUGGACUCUUCAAUUGCGACAACAACAUGAUCAAAUUUUGGAUCUAUGGAUCUCAAAAUUUUCUCAAUAAUUCGAGUAUCAUGAGGGCUUCUCCAUUUCUCUCAUCUGAUUGACUAUCACCAUAAUCCUUGUAUGAUAAUCAGAAAUAGACUGAGGACUUCAUUCGUAAUAAUUCGAAUUCUCCUCUCAAAGAUUGAAGACGAAUCUUCUUGAUUCUGUCAGCACCUUUGUAUUUCUGUUGGAGAGCCUCCCAUAUAUCAUGUGACGUUUCAGCGGAAGCUAUUAUCUCGAAUGUAUCUUCAUCAAGACCUUGAUAGAUGAUGGUCUUUGCUUGUUGUCCUUCUUUCUGUUGACUUUAAGGCUUGCUUCUGUGCCUCUUGUAAAGCAUCUUCUCUUUCUUUGGACUCUGGUUCAUCAUAACCAGUUUGUACAAUAUCAAAACUCUUGUGACCCAAGAAAUGCCUUCAAUCUGAUGCACCAACUAUCAUAGUUGUCUUUGGUCAGCUUCGGGAUGAGUGUAUGUGUACCUUCUGUAGUCAUUUUGCUCUUUUAAUGACUAUAUCACCUUCUGGGAGCCGAAUUUGACCAAACGGACACUGUAGAUCGAUCCGGAAUGGUCCAAAUAGUCGGGAACCGGUCUGACUUUGUUGAAAUCGGGUCAGCAAAUGGGUGAACCGGUCAAAAAACCAAUUCUGUACGGCGGGCGGUUCGCUGGGUUGAACCGGGAAUAUUCUGUGGAAUAUUCUGGGGAAUAUUCGGGGAAUAUUCUGGGGAAUAUGCUUGGGAAUAUUCUGGGGAAUAUUCUUGGGAAUAUUCGUGGAAUAUUCUGGGGAAUAUUCCUUCGGCUCGGCUGAGGCUGGAACGCGGCUCGGCUCGGCUCGGGGGUACGGCUCGGCUUGUGGCUCGGCUUAGGCGGCUUACACGGCUCGAAUAUGGCGCGCGUGUGGCUCAGUCGUCUUCAACCUCGGGGCGCGUGGGAUGCGCGUGGGCGAUCUGGCUGAAUAUUCAGACUGCGCGUGUGGGCUACCCCGGACUCCGAUUUGGCUGAUUUUUGCGGCAGUGAGUUCGUCUUGAUGAGCUCUACACUGUGGAAUGAUCAAAACUUGUUUUUGACAAUUUUGAAAAUUCGGAUAUACCCCAAAACUCUUCUGUUUUCCGACGAACGGGGCUCUGAUACCAAUUGUUGGUGGGAGGAACCACUGGUGGUGGCUUUGAAACACUCAGAGGGGAUAAAACACACUGGUUUUAUUACAAAAUCCGAAGCUUACAAUUAAUUAAAACAAAAGCUUAAACACACCCUCUUUCUCUCUUUCUCUUUCAAGUGUUUCUCUCUAUUCUCUCCACUCGAAAUAACAUAACUGAGCACCCUAUUUAUACAUAAAUUCAGAAUACAAAAAUCUACUGUUCCAGGUGUGAAGGCGGCUGUUGACCGGCGGUGUGAAGGCGGCUGGCGGCUGCGGCUGGUGGGUGGUUGCCUUCCUUGACCAUCUAGGUGCUUCUAGAUUGAGUUUAUUCAACACCACGUACAAGGAGCCCCAAACCCCCUUUAGGAUUACCCAAAAGAUAUCGCAAUUUAGGGAAUCUGUUAACCUCAACUGGCAACCUUUCCACCAAGGAAUAACUCAAGUCUAAGAACUCCAGGUUUUGCAGCUUCCCAAUUGAUUUUGGAAGAUUUGACACCAGUGUCUCUCUUAAGCUUAAAUACUUCAGGUGCAGCAAAUUUCCCAACUCUUUUGGAAUUUCAUCUAUCGGACACUUUUCAAAAUCUAAUGUAGUCAACAGCUUACAUUUUUCAAAUAUUGCAUCAAUUAUUGGCUUUUGCAGCUUUGCCCCGCAGAAGACCAUGACAGAGCGAGUUUGAGACCUGGUGCUUCCCUUUGGGUUGUCACUUCCGCCCUUGCUUAUGGACAUGUGUCGUGCUAUGCCUUUGAAAGCUGAGGAAUUCCAAGAAACAUGGCCGAAACUUAAUUCUUCUGACCUGGAAAAAAUGACGUCUCGUACCAGAUCAUGCACUCGACAUGUUGUGGGAAUUCCUUUCAUGCUAGCUUCAUCUACUUGGACUAGACUUCGACGAAUGAGUCCAUUCAAGCACUCUUCCGCGGCUUCUUCUAAUGUCAAUCCUCGUUUUUCUUGUACAAAACCUUGAGCCACCCAUAACCGAAUUAUUCUUGUACGUUUGAUGGAGAAAUCUUCGGGAAGCAUCCCGAAAUACAAGAAACAUGCUUUGAGGUCGUAAGGAAGGUCGUGAAAACUGAGAGAGAGAAUUUUAGUGACAUUCUCAACAUGAGGAUCACUCGCCAUUGUAGAAUCGAGACUAUUGACCACUUUUUGCCAUUCUGGAAUGACCCUUUCUUUGGUUGCUAGAAGUCCACCAACAGCCACAAUUGCCAGUGGCAAUCCACCGCAUCUUCUAACAAUGUCUUGCGACAAUUCCUCCAAAUCUUUUGGACAAUUCCUUCAAAAUCAAACUUGAAUGCCUUUUUGCAGAAGAGUUCCCAAGCUUCUCGUUGAGGGAGAGAUUUCAUCUGAUAGACAUGAACCAAUGAAGAUCUCCUGCAAAAGUUAGCAGCAUCCUCAUUUCUUGUCGUGACCAGUAUUUUGCUACAUUUGUUGUUAUCCACCAAGGCAUGCUCCACAUCUCCCCAGAAGCGGAUUUCCCACACAUCAUCGAAUACAACUAAAUACCGUUCUUGCUGUAAAUAUUUUCUAAGUUCAUCAAUCAACGAUAAAGCGUCCAUUGUGACAAAGGCCUCAGGAAAAGGCUCUUUCUUAGCUUCAUAUAAUUUCUUUAACGUGCUCCUUAGGAGUUCCACCCUAUCGUAUGAUUGAGACACAGUAAUCCAAGCACGGCAUUGAAAGUGUUGUUUCACUACGUAGCUGUCAUAUACUUUCUUCGCAAGAGUGGUUUUUCCAACUCCUCCCAUUCCAACCACCGCGAUCACUGUCCUCUGACAUUCUCCGCUUACCAAGAGGCUUAUCAAUUCAUCUUUUGUAGAUUCAAUGCCAACAAGCUCGGAAUCUUCAAUGAAAUGAGAACCUAAUCGAGGAUCAUGCAAGACAAUGUUACUUGAGCCUCCCUGCUCUGAAGAUGCGAACCGGAAUCCUUCACUUCUGUCCUUGAUUCUCUGAAGAGUUUUUCUAGCACCAUGAAUCUCUGAUGCGAUCUUAUGGCGUAGAGGCAAUUUCCGAACCAAGGAAGAGACUUUAGUUAAGAAGCCCGGAGCACACGCCGAUCACGAUGUUGUGCCACAUGAAGCGUAUUAUAUUCGUCAAUGACAUCUUCAAUCUGAUAAGCAACUUCCCUUGCUUGCUUUACCCAUACUUUCACACCUUCGCUCGCACCUUCUCUCUCAGCCUUUGAGUCUGCAUCUUUCAGAAAAGCUCUGAUGGCCUCCAGAUCAUCUUUGAUAUCUACAACUUCUUUGUGAACACCUUUCAGUAGUUGCACCCCUUGAGCUAGCAAUGGAGCCAACUUGUCAAUUACAAGACUCACUGCUGACUCUGCCAUUUUUUCUACUCCUUUCUAUUUGAUCUUCUUUGCUGCGAGAACAAAUUUUGAAUUUAGGCUCCUUGAAGUAAUUAAAUUAUUGUAGGUUGGUCAUGUUACAAAAUUAUUGUAACUGGGUGUACCAGCCUUGUAUAUCUUCGGUGAUUCCACCAUAGAUAUAACAAAGUUAUACCAGUUACUUGUUUCAAGAUUAUUUACCAAAUAUACCUUCAACGUAUUUUUAUCAAAAUUAUUUCCUUUUUUCAAAAAAAAAAAAAGCCUUUAAAUUAUGAUCUAAAAUCCGAAGUCUAUUUUCAUAAAUAAUUUCAAACGAACUCUAAAUUCAUAUAUUAAUGUAGAAAUUGAAAAUGAAAGAAAGCUUAUCUAUUACAAUUCACAACGUGUAAUAAAAAGACAAACCUCAUAUGAUCUCCAAUCCGAAUAUAGCUUUUAGAAUUCAGCUACACACCAAUAUCCCAGUUGGUCAGUACGUACCCCUUGCCUUCUUUAUAUUUAGAAGAGUUAAUUUGCUGAGAAGUUAUGGAUUUGGUUCCAGCUGGAGGAAGGAGACCAUCUGAUCCACCGUCGCCAUAAUUAAGUGCUUGCUGCUUCAACUCCUCGAUCUCUGUGAUAUACCGGUGCUCUCUCUCUCUCUUGCAGUAUUGUUUUCAUUGUGCAGUGAACCAACUUAUGUACGCUGUGAAUUAAUGGCUAGAAUUGUCCAGUGUUGUCGAAGUUUAUAUGGUUGCUACAGCAGACAAAUUAAUUUUAGACAUUUCUUUAAAAAAUGUGAACCACUAGACCCUUUAUAAAAAUCAGAACUUUCUUUUCUUUUGAAAAAGUUAAAGAGAUAAUCUCAUCAACUAGGAGGCCAAAAAGUACUGGGAGGCCAAAUUAUAUAUAUAUAUAUAUUGGUUAAGGAAGAUCAAAUAUACAAGAUUGAAAAUUUCAACAGUGUAUUUUCAACUAAUAAAAUCUAUAUUGGCAAAGAAAAUCCAAUUAGAGGAUGAAAAUUCAAAAUUAGAUAUUUAAGAACUCAAUUGAAAUUUUCAGGGUUUAUUUGAAUUUAUUGAGGGCUUAAUUGCAAGAAAUUGAUUUUUAAAGUCAAUAUAGGCUUUAAUUAGAAGAAAUUAAAGUCUGGGGGUUGAGUUGUAAUUUUUAAAAGUUAAUUUGGUCAGGUCAUGGACUUAAUUGUAUACAUAUCAAAGCUUGAUGGGCAAUUAGAAACUUAAUUGAAGAAAUCCAAAACUAAGCACCAACUUAAAAGAGGUGCGUUAAUAUAGGAGUUGAAAGUGACCCAAUCGGGGGAUAAAUUAAAGAAAUUUAAAGUUUGUUAGUCAAUUGAAGGUCAAAAUACAAAAAUUCAGAACAAAGAAUCAAAAUGAAAAAAAACAGCCAAUUUAGGGGCUCAUAAUUGAGUUUGUCAGUGGUGAAAUUGCUUGAAAUUAAAAGUUUGAAAGUGAUUAUGGGUGCAAUGAAAAGAAAUUACGAAGGAAUUGGGGCUUAAUUGAAAUUUUUUAAUCUCAAAUUAAAUACCCUAAACGAAACAUCGUUGAGACUUAAAGAAGAGAAAUUGAGUGACAUGUCAAUUGUCCUUUGUUUUUUUACAGUUUUGGCUAAUCGAGUUGGCAACUUCAAAUGUAUGAAUAUGAAGCUACAGACCUUCAAAUUGAGCAAAGUUAAAUUCAAAUGAAAUGUGUGUAUUUCUUCUACUAAUUUCAGGUGGUCUCUAGCGAUGAUGACAUCAAAAUUCCUCUAAUGAAGCCUUGAAAGUGGGCAACCCAGACAAACAUAACAAUACAACUAUCAUGUAAAAACUGACCUAUUUUUCAUGUGUUCACACACAAAGCCUUCUCAAUGGGUCCUUAUCAAAGGGUUUAUAGCACAUGCCUUAAGAUCAAGAGGUCAAAAUGUGUUUAAAACCUUCUAAAACCCUAAAAAACCCUAUAAAUAUCCCUCAAGCUUAAAGAUAGGCGAGGAAAAAAAAAGAAAUAUCAAUAAAAAAAACACAAGUGUAGAGGUCCAAGAGCCUAAACAAAAGAUUUCUUAGCUUUACAAGUUUAUAAGAGGUAAAAAUUUCCAAAAGAAAACAAAUAGAGAGUAGUUGUUUUAAAUAUAUUUUUCUAAUCCAAAAGGAGGUCAUUUAUGACCUGCUUUUGAUGUUUUUUUUAUUUACUUUUGUUUUAUAUUUAUGUUUAUAAACAAAGAAAAGAGGUUUGAAAGCUCAACAAGUAAUGUUGUAUUCACCUUUUUGUUGCUGUGUUUUUUUUUAAUGAUGUUUAUUUUGAAGAUUUUUUGUAUUUUUAAUACAAUAAAGUUGUUGUUUAAGUUUUAUAUAUAUAAUGUUUAUUUUAGUUGUUUUUUUUUUUACAUUAAGCUAUGCAUGUUUAAGUAAGAGUGUUUUGCCAUGAGUUUGCUAGGUUUGCUGUAAACAUAUAGUCUAUUUUAAGUUUAUGUUUUUUUUAUUUGGUACCUCUUAUUUGAUUUUGAUGUUUUUUUGCUAGUUUUUCAUAUUCAAAAAUGUUUUUAUAUGAUAUUGUAACUUGUUGGGAUAAAAAAAAGUAUGUUUUAGAAGCUAAAAAUACUCAUAUUUGGGCUUGAUAGUGAUUGCCGUUUCAAGGCAUUUUUCUGAUUUUGAGGCAAUAUGCUUUGUAUUCUUGGAAAGAAAAUUGUCUUAGCCUUUAGAUUUGGAUCAAUUUUGAUCAAUUUCUUCUUUUUUAUGCAUGAUAAAAAAAAAGUAUGUGUUUGUCAAUUUUUAUUACAAAUUGAUUUUAAUUGAUAAAUUCAUUAAACACAAUCAGGUAAAUGACCUGUGUUGCACUAUUAAAUAUUUUGAUUUAUAUUUAUUUUUUAAUUUUUUUUAUUUACAUUUUAUUGUAAUUAUCUUCUUUUUUAUCAUAUUAUCAAAUUAAUUUAUAGAAUCUCUUUCACUUUUUUUAAAACAUUAUCAUUUUUUUUUUUCAAGUUAAAAAAAAAAAUUGAUCAUGCUCCCGAUAGCGCGCAGACCAUCAAUCCAGUGAAGGCAUGAACAACGUUCUGUUCACAAACCAUCAAUGAUUUCAUGUUUCGACAUCUCGAAUGCAGGACUCUUAUGAGUGUUCCUUCUGCAAUCCAGUUGAUCAAGUACGCAUAACUUUUAAAGAUGAUGGACUGGAAACUGGAAUGGAAUAGAAAGAAAAAUGCAGCAUGAAACCAUAAUUAAUUGAAACCAUUAAAAGCUGACAGACAUAGUUGCCCAAAAGUAUGAGCUGGUAACUGCACACACACACACACACACAUGCACACAUGGUUUGGUGAUCCUUCAAGGUGAAAAAUAGCAGUGUCAUUGUAUGAAACAAAAAUUCUAGGUGAAAGGGACUUAGCUAUGUUGAAAUUUAUCAAAGCAAAACCGUGAGGUGACAUGCUUUCAAGUGAUUGUUUUUCCUGUUCUGAAGGGCUGUUGUGAGUUUUCUAUAUGAUUGAGUAAGAAGGGUUUAAGCUCGGUUUGAACUUUUGUUUCUGUACAUUUGAAGUUGGAAAUGAUUUCAUUUACAGAUAUUCUUUUCCUUAAAGAUCUAUGAUUUGUCUCCCUUGACAUCUCUUGAUUUUUAAAUGCCUAACAAUUGAUGCAUGACAGCACAUGCAUGUCUCUUUGUUUUAUAAAUUUGAAAGUUUUCUUCAAGUGCCACAGGGGGGGCUUGUCUAAGAUAAAUAGUCAGUUAUUUCUAUAUGCAGAGUGACAGUAAGCUAAGUGAGCAUGAAAGAUACAACGGGCAUUUUUUAUUUUCCUACUUAUUUACUUCCUACGGGCUUUACUUUCUUGUAAGAAAAAUGCUUUCAUUUGUUCCAUAAAGCAGUCAUUUCUGAUAUAUGUGAUACUUGUAUAGAGCGGGCUGCCCUCUUUCAUUGUCUAGGGACCAUUUGCAGCAGUCCCGCACACAAGUGGCUGCCCUACUUUUUUUCAUGACAAACUGCUUUACUUUUUUCCUGCAUCGUCUAAGUCUUUUGAAUUCAUGCUGAAAGUUGUUUGAGGAAUUCCUCGAUCAAAUGUGAUUUUCUGACGUUUCCAUAUUUCCUUUGGAUUACCCUGAAGCUGCCGAGAUCUUUUGAGUGUGGAAUGUGACUUAUCAGUAUGGGAGGAUCUGAAUUUGAAAGUACUUCACUCUCCCAAAGGGAAAUGCUGAUCGCAUCUAUCACCUUCUCCUCUCUUGUUGCUGUAGCCUGGAUAGUCUUCCAUCUUAAAAUCAUCACGUUCCAAAUUGUUCCAGUGGCAGAAUGGAGGUGAUGUUUUGGGGGUUACAUGAAUUUCCCCAUAAGCUUGUAGCAUGUCAUUCGCAUUCCCAAAGAAGUUUCCCACAAGCUCCUUAUGCAUCCUAAGAUAUAAUGCCAGAGAACAGGUAACAAUAACGAGUAUGUCCAGUUAUCUUAUGAUUAAUUGAGCCAAACAACUAUAGAUAUUGUCACGACCCGAUUCCCGGAUCUAAAACCGGCACAUAGACAAAGUUUCCCUCCAAGGUUUUAUACCAAUGCGAACCCAAACUUAUAUAUAAUCCUAUUCUUUAAACAACUCAAUAAGAGUUCAACACAACAUUAAUUAACAACAAACUAACUUCAUAAUACAAUUCAAUUGUUUUAAUACAAGAGUUAAUAUAAUUUUAUAGUUUUGGAGCACUAACUAGACAUAAAAGAAAAGGUACAAAUUACAACAAAAAAGCAGGUUCAGAAGGUUCAACAAAAAUAACCUGCUAUCAAGUUAUUAGCCUGAAAAGAUAAAUAAUAAGAGAGCGAGUUCAACAACUCAGUAAGUAGAUAACGUUCAAUACACACAUACGAGGUAAUAUAACAAUGAGAAUUAUAUAUACAAGUAUGGCUCUAGUUUCUUAUAGGAAGGUUUCUCAAAUAGACCAUAACAAAAAGAUUAUACGGUAAAGCUCGUCAAAAAAUCAAAAUGCAAUGAGCAUGAUCGAUGUUCUGUAUUGUGGGAUGAUCAGUCCACACACUUUUCAAACACGCACCAAACAGGACAUGUAAACAAGGAUGCAACUAAGUCGUGAAAGACUUCACAUCGUGAUAACCAGGGUAGAAAGAAAGAAAGAAAGAAAGAAAACUACAAACUAAGUUAUCCUACGUGGAUUCGGUGCGUCGACAGACAACAGGGUCAUGUGCAUAUCCAUGUUAAUGCAGAUGUCAGAAACAUAUCAGAUAGAUUGGAAACAAGAGUUUCAACAAAUAGAGAAAUGAGUAUCUAAAUAAAAUAACGCUACAGUGCAUGUAAAGUUAACUUGCAGUACUAAACAUGAUCAAGCUGAAUUAACAAUAAUGACAACAGGAAGAUGAAGAUUUGAUGGAACUAAUCAGUAAUCUCUUGAGCAGGAUCAUGUCAACUCUUAGAAAGAAAAGCAAGAAAACUUUAAUCUGAUAAGGCAAUACUACCCUGGACUACGCCAAAUAUUGUAACAGAAAAUCGAUAGCAAGUGGAGGAGGACAUGGACCUGUUGCAAGGAACACCUUCUUUGGUUGCAUUCUGACAGAUUCCUCUCCACUUUGAUGGAACUGGACCCAGUCCCUCAUCACUAAAGCUCUUCGAUUCCAAUGUCGAUUAGUUUCUUACUAAUGACAAAGAUUUAGUACUCACCAGUGUCGAGGUUACCAAUGAUCGCAUCUUCACCGUAUCUAGCUUUCUUCCAAAGUGAGGACGGAGGAACCACCCCAUCUUUCUCUAAUCCAAGAAAGCUCCAUGAAUGUGUUGUGUGCAGUUUCCUUGCUUUGUUCAAGAAAACUGAUACCACGUCUGGGUGUUCUGCAUUGAUGAAAAAAAGAUUAAGAAACCAUUAGCAGAGACAAGUAUCCUGAAUUGUCAAUAUUACAAUCAAACAUGUGGAAAAACAGAGGAAACAGGGUUGAAGGAUUUGUCUUCUCUUCUGCUAUUGAUUGAUCAGUUAUUUGACAAUGAAAUACAAGAAUGUAUGACUUGAAAUUCUUACUGGCAAGUGCUGAUGCCUCUUCCUCUUCAAGGACCGCGGCAAAACCAUUUAUGCUGUUAGUGUAAGAGUAAAAGAUUUUCUCCUUUGCCUUCUCUUUGCUGUCAAGUAAGGAUUGCAACUAGUGUGAUUAGAAUUAAUUUAUAUGAUUUUUAAAAUUAAAGGAGAAUGGGUUUUCACAGUUAAAUUCACUAUGUGUGCGCGUUGUGAGUAAAUGCAUUGUGGGUUUUAACAAUGAUUUUUUUUUUUAUCAUCCAAUUUUCUUCCUUUGAAAUUCAUCUUUUAAAGCUGUGUUUUUUAUGCAUGAAGUUUUUCAGGAAAAAAAAAUGUUUUUUAAGUUAAUUUAUGUUUUUUCUAUUUUUAUUUUUCUAUUCUAUAUUAUUUUUUAAGGAAUAAUUUUCCUAGUUUUUUUUUUUUUGUCUAUUCAAUAUUAUUGUGAUUUUCUAGUUUUUUUCCUAGAGCUUAGAUUUAGGAAAAAAAAAAACCACCUAAAAACCCUAACAUCUUAUAAUAAGUGAUUGGUGCUUAAUCCACGUUGUUCUUAGCCACACUAAGCGCAGAAGCAACCAUGUCUGCGUAGCCAUAUUUAUGAGGUUAUUUGAUGUUCCUCUGUUUUCUGUCCCAGGUGAGCAAGUAAUCACUCCUGGAAUGGCGAUUUCCUUUCCUAGAAACGCCGCGCCUCUUCAUCUUCUUGCUGAACCAGGACAUCAAUUUCAUGUUUUUAAAGCUUCCACUCAAAGCUCCAUGUUCUUACAGACACCAUGAUCUUUAACAACAUCGAUAUCUAUAAGCAUCGCAGACUCAUUAAAAGUCAUAUCCCUCUAAUAAUGUUCUUGGGUGAUUUUUCAUCAGUGCACCAUAGCCUGUAUCCUUUCACCCCAUCUGUAUACCUUAGAAACAUGCACUUCCCUGCCACUAGCUUAAACUUACCAUCAUUCAUAGGAGCAUGUGUAGAACAACAAAAUACUCUCUGCACCAUACCUCUUCUUGAGUUUUAUAAUUGAUAGUUGCUGAUGGAGACCUAUUUACCAAAUAAUAAGUUGGGUCAACAACUUUUGUACGGCUUAUAGCUUGUUAACAAAUCAUUUUUGUUGAAUAUUUAAAACUUGCUUUUUUAGUUGUAAUUAAUACUUUUUCUUUAUGUCUAAUUAGUGCUUUAUAAUUACAAAAAUAUGAAUUUAACUCUCGUAUUAAAACAAUCAAAUUAUAUUAUGAAGUUAACUUUGUUAUUAGUGUUACGUUGAAUUCUGAUUGAGAUAUUUAAAUGAUAAGUUCGUAUGUAAAUUUAGGUUCACAUAUGUAUUGAUACCUGAAAAGGAACCUUGCUCAUGUGAUGAUCAUGGAUUCAAGAAUCGAGUCGUGACAAACUUAAUAUCAGAGCUUUAGGUUAAAGAAACAAAAAUAUAAUUAACUUUGUAAUAAGUUGAGUAUUAGAAUUCGUAUCAUCUUGUCUGUUGCCUUUCAAAUUUUAAAUUCUCAUUAGGAAUGUUUUAUUCCUUGUGAUAGAUAUAUUUUUCUCUAAUUUUAUGAUAAUUAUCAUAUUCUAGCACAACUUAAAUGUUCUUGCUUGUCCUCUAUUCUUUUCUCUUCUUCUUUCCUCGUUUCUUUUUUCUUGCCGGUAUUCUGUCUCUCUCUCUCUCUCUCUCAAAAUAGAUUUUCCUUUUAAAUGUUAACACUCCUCUAUUGAGAUUAUAACAUAAUUAUACAUAUCAAAACAUAAAUUUUAUAUUUUAAAUUUAUUUUCUCUAACUCUCUUCUUUUUAUUCAUCUUCUUCUUCCCUCCUUUCUUCUCUCCCGUUGGUUCUCUCUCUCUCAAAUUAGAUUUUCCCUUUUUUUUAUACUAUUUAUAAUUAUCAAGCUUUAUUCAAUUAUCAUAAUAUCCCUUAUUUAUUUAUAGAUACUUCUAAGCCUCCAAGAAUAUUAUUAUCUUUUCUUAUUUAUGUUUUUAAAAAAUCACAAUAAUAGCGACAUGGAAAUUUGUAUUGAAGUAACCGAAGUAUGUAACACGGAAACUUAGAAUGGCACGUCAGAUUGAACAAAGAAGACAGGCUAGGCUACAGAUUAAGAUGAAUGAUACAUACCGCAAGAACAAACUACAAAUCUCUCUCUCUCUCUCUCUCCCCCCCAACCCUCUCCCUCUCUCUCCCUCUCUCCCCCUAUCAUCCAGUAGCCAUUGUUCAUUGUCUAGAGUUCCAUAUUGUGUCAAUGAAGACCGAAUGCCCAAAUGGAAACUCAUGGCUUGCUCCAGUCAUGUUUCUUCCUUUCUUCUUCAUUGCCUGUUGCACAGUCCCCUCCUCUGCUGAUAAGCCAUCAUAUUACAUACCCCCUGACAGAAUUGCAAUGGAUUGUUCUCCGUCAGUUUCACCACAUGAUGCUAGAUUCCCUUAUGAUAAAAAAUAUGAAAUUGAUUUCUCAUCAGUUUCAAGAGUAUACACCGUAGAUCCUACCAGCAGCGAAAAACCGAGAAUUUCUGCUUGCAUCUUCCGCAAGCAGGUCACCUUGCCAUUUAUUGUCUCUGAUGGCCCCAACUUCAUUCGACUUUACUUCAAACUAGUUACAUAUUCAGGGUUAAACAUAUCUAAGGCCUUGUUCUCCAUUGUUGAAUUAAACUCAACAUCUAGAUGGUCAAGGAAGGCAACCACCAGCCACCAACCGACCAGCCGCCAGCCGCCUCCACAGCUGCCACAGCCGCCAGCCGCCUUCACACUUGAAGGUUAAAUUUUCUUGUUUUGAUUUCGUGUAUAAAUAGAGUGCCCAGCCUCUAUUAUAUUGUGUGGAGAGAAUUGAGAGGAACACUUGAAAGAGAAAGAGAGAGAGAGGGCGUGUAAUUGUUAAGCUUUUGUGUUGAUUUGUAAGCUUCGGUUUUGUGUAAUAAAACAGUGUGUUUUAUCCCCUCUGAGUGUUUCAAAGCCACCACCAGUGGUUUCUCCCACCAACAAUUGGUAUCAGAGCCCCGUUCGUCGGAAAACAGAAGAGGUUUGGGGUAUAUUCGAAUUUUCAAAGUUGUCAAAAACAAGUUUUGAUCAUUCCACAGUGUAGAGCUCAUCAAGACGAGUUCACUGUUGCAAGAAUCAGCCCGAUCGGAGACCGCGGUGAUCCACACGCGCCGCCUGAAGAUUCUGCACAAACGACCACGCGCGCCAGAGGUUGAAGACGACUGACGUGCACGCGCGCCAUAUUCAAGCCGAGCCGCGCCGUUCACGUCGAGUCCAAGCCGCGUCGAAAGCCAAGUCCAGCCGCGCCGUACUCCGCGCCGAGCCGAGCCGAGUUUCGAGUCGCAGCCGAGCGAGAGAAUAUUCCCUAGAAUAUUCCCCAAAUAUUCCACAGAAUAUUCCUGAUUCAACCCAGCGAACCGCCCGCCGUACAGAAUUGGUUUUUUGACCGGUUCACCCAUUUUCUGACCCGAUUUCAACAAAGUCAGACCGGUUCCCUACUAUUUAGACCAUUCUGGAUCGAUCUACAGUAUCCGUUUGGUCAAAUUCGGCUCCCAGAAAGGUGAUAUAGUCAUUCAAAGAGGAAAAUGACUACAGAAGGUACACAUACACUCAUUCCAAAGCUGACCAAAGACAACUAUGAUAGUUGGUGCAUCAAAUUGAAGGCAUUCCUUGGGUCACAAGAGUGUUUGGAUAUUGUACAAACUGGUUAUGAUGAACCAGAGUCCAAAGAAAGAGAAGAUGCUUUACAAAAGGCACAGAAGCAAGCCCUCAAAGUCAACAGAAAGAAGGACAACAAAGCAAAGACCAUCAUCUAUCAAGGUCUUGAUGAAGAUACAUUCGAGAUCAUAGCUUCCGCUGAAACAUCACAUGAUAUAUGGGAGGCUCUCCAACAGAAAUACAAAGGUGCUGACCGAAUCAAGAAGAUUCGUCUUCAAUCUUUGAGAGGAGAAUUCGAAAUUAUUGAAUGAAGUCCUCGAGUCUAUUUCUGAUUAUCACACAAGGAUUAUGGUGAUACUAAACCAGAUGAGAAGAAAUGGAGAAGCCAUCAUAGAUACUCGAAUUAUUGAGAAAAUUUUGAGAUCCAUAGAUCCAAAAUUUGAUCAUGUUGUUGUCGCAAUUGAAGAGUCCAAGGAAGUAGACAAGUUGACAGUUGAUGAGCUUAUGAGUUCUUUGCAAGCUCAUGAGCAGAAGAUUGUAAAGCGAAAUGAAGAUAAGGCCAUUGAGCAUGCCUUACAAGCAAAGUUGUCUCUCAAAGACAGAUAUGAGCAAGGGGAGACUUCAUCAAGUGGCUACACCACUCAAGGAGGAAGUCAACAAUCCAGAGGAGGAUUCCAGCAAUUCCAAGGAAGAGGUUCUUGGAAUACAAGCUUUAGAGGAAGAGGUGGUAGAAACACCACCAGAGGAGGCCGAGGACAACAAGCAUUCACUCCUAGAGGAAGAGGAGGCAGUUACAAUAACCGUGACAAGAGGAAUAUCAAAUGUUAUAGCUGCAAUCAAUUUGGGCACUAUAGCACUGAAUGCCGAUGGAAAGCUCCGUUGGAGAUACGUGAGCAUGCCAACUAUGCAGAGAAGGAUGAUAGAGAAGCAUCUGCAUUUCUUGUCCAACAAGAACUUGGGGAGAAACAAGAAAAUAUAUGGUAUCUAGAUACUGGAGCCAGCAAUCACAUGUGCGGCUACCGAGAGUUAUUUGGUGAUCUAGAUGAGACCAAGCAAGGUCUAGUUACUUUUGGAGAUACCACAAAGGUUCCAUUCAAAGGUAAAGGCAGCAUCCCAGUCAAGUUGAAGAAUGGCGAUUCCAGCUACAUCGCCAAUGUGUAUUAUGUCCCAGCCAUAAAGCAGAACCUGAUCAGCUUAGGUCAACUUUUGGAGAGAGUAUAUACUUUUUACUCGAAGAAUUGUCAUCUGGCAAUUAGAGACAACAAUGGGAGAUUAAUGGCCUACGUGAAAAUGUCCAAGAAUAGGAUGUUUCCUUUGAACAUCCAGUAUGAUGCAACAAGGUGUUUGAGUGCCAUCACCAACAGUGAAGAAUGGCUUUGGCACCUAAGGCUUGGACAUCUGAAUUUCACGAGUAUGAAGAUGCUAGCAAGCAAGAAGAUGGUCAAAGGUUUGCCUCACAUUGAUCAUCCAGAUGAAGUCUGUGAGAGUUGUGUCCUCAGCAAACAUCACAGAUCCAGUUUUGCCAAAGAAGUCAACUGGAGAGCAAAGAGGCCACUGGAGUUAGUACACACAGAUGUGUGUGGCCCAAUUACGCCUAUGUCGACUGGACAAAAUAGGUACUUCCUCACUUUUACUGAUGAUUUUAGUAGAAAGACGUGGAUAUACUUUCUGAAGAGGAAGUCAGAAGUAUUCAAUUGUUUUAAAGAUUUUAAAGCAAUUGUGGAGAAGCAAACUGGUUACACGAUCAGAACAGUGAGAUCUGAUCAAGGUGGAGAAUAUACAGCAAAUGACUUUGAAGCCUAUUGUACACGACAAGGCAUCAGACAUCAAACGACACCAGCUUAUACAUCACAGCUGAACGGUGUAGCAGAAAGGAAGAAUCGCACGAUUCUUGACAUGGCAAGAAGUCCUGCUCAAAGCAAAGAAGCUGCCCAAGCAAUACUGGGCUGAAGUUGUAUCAUGUGCAGUGUAUCUACUAAAUCGCUGCCCUACCAGAAGUUUGCAAGGAGUCAUUCCAGAAGAAGCAUGGAGUGGUCACAAACCAAGUGUUACUCAUCUACGAGUCUUUGGUUGUGUGGCAUAUGCAAAGAUCCCAGAUGCAAGAAGGAGAAAGCUCGAUGAUAAGAGCGAGAAAUGCAUCUUUGUCGGAUAUGGUGAAAGAAGGAUGGGAUACAGGCUGUAUAAUCCUAUCACGAAAAAGGUGAUUACGAGUAGAGAUGUUAUCUUUGAAGAAGAUAAAUCUUGGGCAUGGAAUGAUGAUCAAGAAGCAUUGAAAUGGAUCAACAUUGAUUUGAUCCUUGAAGGUGAAGAAGUACCAACAGUACUUGUCGAAGAACCGAUUGUACCUGUAGAAGAACCGAUUGUGCCAGCAGCUGAACCACAAAGUCCGGUGUUUAUACCAGCAGCUGAACCACAAAGUUCGGUGCACAGAUUCCCUGUAUUCAACAGGAGGAACACACCAGGAGCAUCAUCAUCAACACCACCAUCAGCAUCCUCAUCAGAAGGACCAAGAAGGAUGAGGAAUCUUGAAGAGUUGUACGAUACCACUCAGGUCAUGGAAGAUACAACUCUGUUUUGUUUCCAUGCAGAUAAGGACCCACCAGAAAAGAAAAAAGCAAUAGGUGUCAAAAGGGUCUACAAGCAGAAAGAAGGCAUUGAAAGGAGAAGUGUUCAUGCUUGGCAUGACAUCCCUCGAUUGAGUUUAAAGGGGAGAUUUGUUGAAUUAAACUCAACAUCUAGAUGGUCAAGGAAGGCAACCACCAGCUGCCACCGACCAGCCACCAACCGACUAGCCGCCAGCCACCUGCCGCAGCCGCCAGCCGCCUCCAUAGCUGCCACAGCCGCCAGCCGCCUUCACACUUGAAGGUUGAAUUUUCUUGUUUUGAUUUCGUGUAUAAAUAGAGUGCCCAGCCUCUGUUAUAUUGUGUGGAGAGAAUUGAGAGGAACACUUGAAAGAGAAAGAGAGAGAGAGGGCGUGUAAUUGUUAAGCUUUUGUGUUGAUUUGUAAGCUUCGGUUUUGUGUAAUAAAACAGUGUGUUUUAUCCCCUCUGAGUGUUUCAAAGCCACCACCAGUGGUUUCUCCCACCAACAUCCAUCAACGUUGGUCCGUAUACACUAAUAACUACUUCAGAGUCAUCCUAUUCUAAAUAUUCCCCAAAUAGCGAUUAUGCUAUCAGGGAAUUCUGUGUCAAUAUGGAUGGCCAGGUAUUAAAUGUAACUUUCACCCCUUCAUCUAAGGUUUUCGGUGCCUAUGCUUUUAUCAACAAGAUUGAGAUAGUCUCAAUGCCAUCAAAGCUUUACAUACAAGAAGAUGCUCCAUUUUCACUUGUAGGACAGCCUACUCAUUAUUUCAUGGGGAAUUCUACAGCCCUCGAGAUGAUGUACAGGGUGAACAUAGGAGGAGAUGUGAUCACUGAGCUAGAAGAUACUUGCAAGAUACUUGCAUGUUUCGUCGCUGGACCAAGGAUGAUGAUUAUUUCAUGAGUAAUGAUGGAAACACAAAUAUUGUUGAAUCAGAAGUUGAAGUCAACUCGAGUUUACUGGUGCCAUCAUAUGCUGCUCCAGUCCAAGUUUACACCUCUGCCAGGACAAUUGUACACACAACUGAAAGCAAAUACCGAGCUACAUGGUUGUGCCCAGUUGAUCAUGGUUUCUAUUACCUUGUUAGGCUCCAUUUCUGCGAGAUUUCGAGAACAAUUAAGUAAGACGGCCAACGAGUUUUCAGCAUUUAUAUCAACAAUCAAACUGCCGAGGAUCACGUAGAUAUUUUCAAUUGGAGCCAUGGGACUGGAAUUCCCAUCUACAGAGACUACAUAGUGAACUUUUCAAGGUAUGGUGAAGGCAUAGAGUAUCUAACUGUUGCAAUAGGAAGUAAUAAUGGAUCAUAUGCAGAAUAUGGCGGUCCAAUUUUGAACGGGCUGGAAAUUUUCAAGUUGUCUGACAUUUCCAACAAUCUUGCGGGUAUUCAUCCAUUUGGGCUAAUAGUUACCCCGCAUCCAAAUUUUUCUGGAGGCAAUGAUGCGGUGAUUAUUUACCGGGUAUUGACAAUCUUCUAAUGGCUGCUCUUAUGGCAAUAGGAUUGCUGUGCUUCUUCUAUUUAUUUUGUUCCUCUCUUUCAAAGGAGCAUCGUGAAUCCUCUACGCAAGAUCAAUCAUCAGGCCACUGCCGAAUUUUUACAAUUGCUGAGACAAAAUCAGCAACCAAUAAUUUUGCAGAUAACUUACUCAUUGGAAACGGUGGGUUUGGGACAGUCUACAAGGGAUCAAUUGAUGGUGGCAUAUCAAGCAUUGCUAUAAAGCGCGCCAAUCCAAGUUCACACCAAGGUUUGAAAGAGUUCCAAGCUGAAAUCUCCAUGCUCUCAAGGCUCAGGCACAGCCACCUAGUAUCUUUGGUCGGAUAUUGCAUGGAGGAAAAAGAAAUGAUACUCGUUUACGAGUACAUGGCUCAAGGCAGACUGCGUGAUCAUCUCUACAAGACAAAGAAACCCCCUCUUCAAUGGAAACAGAGGCUUAGGAUUUGUAUUGGUGCCGCACGAGGGCUGCACUACCUUCACACGGGUGCAAAACAUACUAUCAUUCACCGUGACAUCAAGAGCACUAACAUCUUGUUGGAUGAAAAAUGGGUGUCAAAGGUUUCAGAUUUUGGGUUAUCAAAACUUGGUCCAAACAACAUGACAGAGUCUAAGACGCAUGUUUCAACAAUUGUUAAAGGUAGUUUCGGCUAUCUGGAUCCAGAGUACUAUCGACGCCAAAAACUAACUGAAAAAUCUGAUGUGUACUCAUUCGGGGUGGUGUUGUUUGAGGUUCUAUGCUGUGAUCCCUAUGGGAGAAAUUGAAGAGGAAGAGCAUGAAAAAGUGAGUUUAGCUGAGUGGACAUUGCAUUGCUGUCAAAUGGGGACCCUUGAUCAGAUAAUCGAUCCAUAUCUAAGAGGUAAGAUAGUUCCUGACUGUUUCAAGACCUUCACAGAUAUAGCAAGGAAAUGUUUGGCGGAUAGGGGAAGUGAAAGGCCAUCAAUGGGUGAUGUAUUGUGGAAUUUGGAGCUUGCAAUGAAGCAGCAGGAAGGUGACGGCCAGCAAGAGGCCGGCAGUGUUCGAAAAGAGGUCAAUCGGAGGAAGAAUGAUGAUUUGUCCAUAAUGAUUGACGGUCAACGCUGCAGUGGCUUUGAUAUUUCAGAUCCAACCCCAGGGGGGGAGUUUUCUGAGAUUAUGGCUCCGACAGGACGUUGACAUUUUCAUGUCCAAUGCCAACUCCAUUUAAACCAUGUAAGUUAGGAAUUAGUGUCCUCGAUAUAAAAUGAUUUAGAAUCCUUAGUAAAGUAGCGCUUAGAAUCCUUGUUGUUGGAUUAGGAGAGUUUCUAUAAUUUUCCUAUAAAUCAGAGCUUGGAUUUAGUGUUUCCAACAUCCAAGACCAAUUUAUGGUAGCAUUUUCCAGGUAUGCAAUUCCAGUAUUCCACAAUCCUCAUCUUGUAUGAUAUAGGUAACAGAAAAUUGAUUGCAAGUGGAGGAGGACAUGGACCUGUUGCAAGGAACACCUUCUUUGGUUGCAUUGUGACAGAUUCCUCUCCACUUUGAUGGAACUGGACCCAGUCCCUCAUCACUAAAGCUCUUCGAUUCCGGCCAAACACCUAGCACAGUUCCAUUUAAAAUGGCAACACAUUGUAUUGCAAUUGGCAAAGCUAGUACGGAUAGUCGAUCUUUAUUUUGCUACUGACCCUACCACUUUUGCAUAUUCUAAAUGUCCAAAACUCCAAAGAGAGGGGAACAAAAGAUCAUAAGACUGCUAACAAGUUUCAAAUUUCAAAACAUCAGAUUCUUUCUUGCAGUGGAUAAACCAUGACAAAAACUCAUGCAAAUGAUCAGGUUUCAAUCAUUUUAACUACCCAAAUGACUGAGAUUAGUUUCUUACUAAUGAAAAAGAUUUAGUACUCACCAGUGUCGAGGUUACCAAUGAUCACAUCUUCACCGUAUCUAGCUUUCUUCCAAAGUGAGGACGGAGGAACCACCCCAUCUUUCUCUAAUCCAAGAAAGCUCCAUGAAUGUGAGCCUCUUGAUGUAAUCGUCGGUGUCCGUGCCCUUGGUUGGUGUGGAUUUCUUGUUGAUAUUCUUGCUUGUGGUCCCAUACAAUAUGUCCACGUCAGUUUGACAUGUCACCACGUAAGAUUAGUAACAAGUCAAUGUCUUAUGCAGGCGAUGAAUGCUACAGUUCUGCCUGGGGACAACCACCACGGUGAAAAAGAGACAUCCACGUUUCACCAUUAAUACUGUUAUUAAAAAAAUAAAUUAAUAUUUAACACGCUUUAAACACGUUUCUCUUUUCUAUCUAUCUUGUAACUAUGCGUCCAUCUGUCCGAACCAUUUUUUUUUUUUUUCUUGGAGAUGGUUUGGUAUUCUUACAGUAAAAAGUUGUAUUAAAUAAUACUUUUUAUUUUUAAAAAAUUAUUUUUCACAUCAAUAUAUCAAAAUAAUAUAAAUAUAUUUUAAAAAAAAUUCUUGAAGGGAAGAAUUUGUGUGAAAACUACUGGGCAAGAAUAUUGGUAAGUUUCACUUGAUGAUUUAAGAUUUAUUCGUCUAUAGAAAUGUAUUCCUAGUUUUUCGUAGCACACGUCGCUAGAAAUUGACGCCGCGGAAGCAGAAAGACAGUAACCAAGCAUGGAAAAUUAGAAUUGACAAGUAUGCUACUAGCCCAAAAUUAAUAAUAGAAAAUAGACAUUCACCUGUUGACAUUAAUGCAUCCCUAGCCAGGUUAUUUCUCGUACCAACAGCGGCAGCACUACCUAGCUAGCUCUAUAGCAUUGACGAGAAGUACAUCAAACGAUGGCAUACAAGCUGCUUGCUAAUAAGCAAUUAUUACAAGGAAAUUUCAGUCAAACCAAAUUAAGCAGCACAGCAGUAAUUAACAAUAGUAAUAACAGCCGCAUGGCAUAGAGUUAUAAAGCACGAAGAUUAUUGCGUCUUUGGAAGCAGAAUUCCUCGAGGCACUUUCAUGGUAGUGAUCAAUGGAGCCAAGCUGACAAGGUGAAUGAAGAACAUGCAUGUAUUAGGAUUGCUAUAAGAAACGAGUUGGUUUGGAGUGAAUAUAUAGAACACUAUUGAAAGAUAAAAGUGCUUACCAAUUAGCUAGUGAAGGGAACAGGUAGAACUUGAACAUUAUCGAUAUUACCUACCACAAAGAAUGGAAGAACGCGUCAUUGGUAAACAUGACAAGCUGAUUAUUUUAUUUGAAUUGUAAUGAUCGAGUAAAAAGAAUGAGGAAAUUCGAGAAAUAAUUUGAAAUUAUCAUUUAACUUCGCAUUACCUGUAGCAUCAUAAACCCUUGAGCCAGUUUGGUUAGCUACCCAAACCAGAGCUUCACCCACGCUCCAUAAGAACUUUCAUCAUCAGGAUCGUAAGUGCCGUCGUAUUGGAGAACUGGUACAUGUUUCACUAUCCAGUAGUCUUGGCCAUUAUUGGGUGACAAUCUCUCAUUGAACUCAUCUGACAUCUUUGCCAAUGAUAGCUGUUUGAGAUUUUUCAAGUGUUGUAUCCCAGAAGGCACCUCCUUCAGACCCUGGCAGAAACCUAUUUCAAGUUUUUCAAGAAGGGGAAUUGCUCCUUGGUCUAUUAUUAUUGUAUUCAAUUCAGUCAUGCCUGCAAGACGUAGAGACUUGAGUUUCUGAAACCCUACUCCUUCAAAAUGCAUCUUCUCUCCAUUGUAUCCCCAAAAGAACCUAAGACAUCUUAAAUUGGGCAAAGCUUGUAGGACUUUAAUCGAAUCACCAGCCAUCAACAUAGUAUCAUUCAAUCUCAAUUUAGCUAGAUUGUGCAGUCUGGAAAUCCACUCAGGCAGCCUUUCUAGUUUCCCCCAAAGACGGAGAGAUUGGAGGUGAAGAGGAGCAGAAGACAUUGCCUGCAAGUCAAGAAUUGCAUCCCCAUGACCCUCUGAACCAACAUUAAGCGACUGCAGGUGAGGCAUAUUCUCUAGGGCAAUGCAUAGAUCCCUUCCAUUUUCUUUUUUCAAAUUCACGAUCCCCAGCUUCCUCAAUUGCUUCAACAUUCCAAUCUCAUUAAUUAAUUCCCGUUCAUGAUCGUCACCUGCAUUAAUUCCAUAGAGUGUUUGCAACAGCUCUAACUGCC